AGUAAUGAUUCUCACUGUGGAGUCAUUUGAUUAUUAAGACCCGUUGGCAUAAGAUUCCAUCCUCUGACUAUAAAAAUCCUGGAAGAAAACCUAGGAAAUAUUCGUCUGGACAUUGCACUUGGCAAUGAAUUUAUGGGCGCUUUGGAAUCCUGCAAAUAUAAUAAUGAUAAUUAAACAAAACACUCAGAGAAACUGCCAACCCUAGGAUGAAGUAUAUUGUUACUGUGCUUUGGGAUUAAAAUAAGUAACUACAGUUUAUAGAACUUGUAUACUGAUACACAGACGCUAAAAAGGGAAAGUGUUUAGAUGAGAAGCUCUGCUAUGCAAUCAAGAAUCUCAGCCACUCAUUUCUGUAGGGGCUGCAGGAGCUCCCUGUAAAGAGAGGUUAUGGAGUCUGUAGCUUCAGGCAACCACUGAUCCACUUCCAGUCACUAUCCAUGAGUUUUUAUUUCCAAAUACAUGAAAUCAUAUGCCUCUGAUAAACCACCAUUCUGCUCUUAACUUCUAUGAGUGCACAUUUUUGGAUUUCACAUAUUUGAAGGCAAUUUUUUAAAGCUCUCCACAUGUGGUUUACUGUGGACCAAACACUGGCAGCUUCAGGCUUACAAUCUGCUGACAAACCCUUCUUAGUUCCUUCAAUUGAAGAAUGUGAGCAUGCACUGCUCAUGUGCCUCGCAAGCACGCAAACCACUCAGGAGAAGGACAGUGGCCACUCAGGUCAUCAGGUGAACUUGUGACGGGGCCAUCAAGAGGCUGCACGUGAGCUCCAGAACAUGAAAUUCCCACUAUCAACCUAUUUUCCAUUUCCACCCAAUGCCCCGCCCCUGCUCCAAAUCAAGGUCUCCGCCUCUUAGAAAUGCUUGAUUUUCAGUAUUGCUAAACAGGGAUCAAAGAAAACAAACUGAACAAAGAAACAAAUAAAGCCUUUAACACCGUGAGCAAAGACACAGCACCUACGCCUUCCCCGGGCCCCGCAACAGCUCCAGAGCUGCACAGCUGCUCCCAGAGCCUGAGCAUGGACCUGAGCUCUGGCUCAUGGAUCUCACCAAUGCAUUUCUUCCCUCUGCGUCAAAAAAGCAUCCAGAAAUUGGAUUCAUUUACUUGGGACAUAAAAUAAUGUAUACCUACAGUUUUGUCCCAGAACUGUGUAAACCAGCAUGCUGUCUGCCAUAAUACAGUCCUCCCCCUGCAUCAGGAGCACAGAUAGGGGAAACCGGCGGUGCUGGAGGCCUGGGAGUCACAGGUGCUUGGAGGGGAGAGAAAAGCACCACAGAGAGCCAGGCCUUGCCUACAAAUCACAUUUUUAGGGGUCUAGUGGUCUGUGCAGGCUGGGAGAUGAUCUCUAAAGGAAAGGCAAGAAAUAUUGCCCCACAUCUCCCACCACCAAACAGAAAGUGCAGGUGGUCAGCCCCAGGGCUCACCUGCCCUUUGCCAGGGUCAUGAGCUAGGCCCAGGCUGCGCGCUCCACAAAACCAUCAAGGGGACUGCCUGCCAGGCUGGGACAACUGCACCAGGCCCUGACAUCCUGGGAAGAACAGGGUUGCAUUUAACAGAAACAACUAAACCUGCAGGGAUGAGCUUGCCUUUCCCCGGGGCCACGGGAUGGUUUAUAGAAAGUUCUGCCCAUCAGGACGAGACCUCACAUGACACCAUCAGAGGAACUGGUACCAUGCCACAGAGGGAGGAAGACGGCACAUGCCAUAGGUCCGCUGGUCACAGCACACACACGCUCCUGGGAACUUCAGAGCCAGCAGUGUGGCUCAGGUGCCAGGUCAGGAUGUGGGAGGACACAGUGUCUGGGUGAAUCUGUCACCUUUGCUAGCUGCCUUGUCCCACCAGGUAGAAGAUGUGGCAAUGGGAGCACAGCAGUAGGAAGCCCAGUGUCCCCCAACCUUCCACCUCACACCCAGGACCUCUGAGGUGCAUCUAUAUCCUGCACAUCUAGGCUCUGAAAAGCAGGAGGUCCUGGUUUCCAGAGCUGUGGGGCUUCUAGACAGGACAGAGCCAGGUUCUCUGAAAAAAACAAGCUCUGGGUGCUGCUUUGUUCUCAGGCUGCUCCUCCAUGGGACCUGCGGGCAGAAAGAUGUGUACCACCUGGACCAUGGUGUCAGCAGGAGCAGGGCUGUGCUGCCUGGGGAAGAAGUGGCUCUACGCAAGCGCCUCUCAGUACACAGCAUUUGAUGGUACCUGGACAAGUGCGGGAGCCCUAGACCAAGGACUCAGUGGUGAGCAAGACUCAGGACCCCUUAGGGGCGAGGGCCUGGAUUACACCACCAGGGGGUCACCUGGACCCUCAGCAGAAGGUGAAGGGGUGAUCAUUACCUUUACGACCCUGAAAUGGGUGGCAGCCACAGGACACAGGGUUGAUUGAACCCACCUUGUGUAACUAUUGCCCAGGAAAAGGCCCAGAAUUUAAUAAAGACGAGGCCCCUGGCAGUGCAGUGUUGGAUGGGGCGCACCCCCUGGGGCACCCCUGACCCUCCCCCAGGGCCUUGGCUGUGAGCUUUGAUUAUAGACACACGUAUGCCAUGGCCCCUUCAGACUGCUCCCUUCACCUUUGAAAAACCAGACAGGAUGCUUCUGUUCCUGGAAACAUGAAUGCCCUUCAUGUGUUUUUUUCUUUGACUAGAAACUCAACUUCAACCAAAAUAUAGACUCCCACACAAUAAUAAUGGGAGUCUUUAACACCCCACUGUGAACAUUAGGCAGAUCAAUGAGUCAGAAAGUUAACAAGGAUAUCCAGGAAUUGAACUCAGCUCUGCACCAAGCAGACCUAAUAGACAUCUACAGAACUCUCCACCAAAAUCAACAGAAUAUACAUUUUUUUCAGCACCACACCACACCUAUUCCAAAACUGACCACAUAGUUGGAAGUAAAGCACUCCUCAGCAAAUGUAAAAGAAGAGAAACUAUAACAAACUGUCUCUCAGACCACAGUGCAAUCAAAUUAGAACUCAAGAUUAAGAAACUCACUCAAAACCGCUCAACUACAUGGAAACCGAACAACCUGCUCCUCAAUGACUACUGGGCACAUAACGAAACGAAGACAGAAAUAAAGAUGUUCUUUGAAACCAAUGAGAACAAAGACACAACAUACCAGAAUCUCUGGGACACAUUUAAAGCAGUGUGUAGAGGGAAAUUUAUAGCACUAAAUGCCCACAAGAGAAAGCAGGAAAGAUCUAAAAUUGACACCCUAACAUCACAAUUAAAAGAACUAGAGAAGCAAGAGCAAACACAUUCAAAAGCUAGCAGAAGGCAAGAAAUAAGUAAGAUCAGAGCAGAACUGAAGGAAAUAGAGACACAAAAAACCCUUCAAAAAAAUCAAUGAUUCCAGGAGCUGGUUUUUUGAAAAGGUCAACAAUAUUGAUAGACCGCUAGCAAGAC